rnacentral:lncRNA from 1 species
GUUUAUGCCAAAACCCUAAACAAGACUCAUAAGCAAAUUAAACUAUUUUCAACCUGAGUUAAUCACAUAUUACAAGCCAUUCACAGCAAAGAACAUCUCACAUUACUUCUCAAAAAGCAUGCUACACGUCAUUAGUUUACCCUUAGUCACUUUGCAGCUAGUUCUAACAUGAGAUUACUACCAAGCAACGUAACACUGAAAUGUAUAGCCAAAAUUAAAGAAAACUGAAACCGACAUGUCUUUCGACUGAAUCUUUUAUCUACAGCAUCUUAAAAGUCCCAAAUCAAAUACAAGAAAAUAAAUUCCAUCAGCUAAACCAAAAAUUAAUUAAAAAGACAAGGAACUAAAGCUAGAAAACACCAUACAACAAAGAGAUAGAACUGAACUCAUAAAAGAAACUGAAAACAUGUUUUGAACUCUAAUUUCUCAUUUCAUUCUUCAACUUGAGCAUCACAUUAUACAAGUUUCAAGAACAUGUACCUGGAAAUUAAAAGAAAAAAGAAGUGAGGAAGCAGUAGACAACAGUAGAACAAGAACCCAGCAACAGGAACAUAACCAGCAACACUGAGCCCAAAAACAACCAAUGGAAUAGUAGAAGAGUAGAAAACCAGAACUUAAUCCUCAAGCCAUGCUCAAACCAUUUCUCAAAUCAGAAUAUAACUAUGGAAUUUUGGAGAAUUAUAACUAACACAAGAGAAAUCAGAAAUCCAAAUGAGCAGAAUUUUGAUAGUUCUUCAACGAUGGAAUGCAAGAAUUUCAGAACUUUUUAAAGAAUUCCAGCCGUUUCAGCUUUUCAGGGGUUUUUUAUCUCUUAAUUUCUGCCUUCAGCCUCAAGUAAUGAUGCCUUUAUAGGCAAGCUAUUAGGACAGCCUAAAAGAAAUCAGAUUUGCACUUCUACCCUUUGAUAUUUUCAUUCUUGCUUUGUUAUCCUUAGGUUCAGAAAUCAAAUUUCACAUUAAACUCAGCCCAGCUUCCUAGAAGCUUCCUCAGUAUGUUACAUAAGAUUCACCUAGCCUAAAUUCUUAGACUACCCUUUAGGACCCCUAUUGUUACCACUGUGCGAGGCAGAAUAUGGGUCAAAUUGACCCAAUUCAGAGUGUUAAUGGGUCUGUUAAAAACUCAAUUCAACUCUCUUUUGGGCUCUUUCAUUCCCAAUUCAAAUCAAGAUUGAAAGCUCAAAAACUUCUUGAAUAUUCAAUUAUAGAGUCUCAAGACUCGAAAAAUUCGGGCCCAAACAGAAGCAAAAAUCUAAUACAUCUAAACUUAGCACCAGAACACAAAUAAUAACUAAACGCAACCUAAAACUAACAUGCAAAUAUAGACGGUGUAAAGAAAUGAAAAACUGGGAAAUAAAAAUAAAAAAACUAAAAGAAAGAGUAGAAGAAGAUGAGAAGAGAACAAAGAAACAGAAAUAAAAUAACAAAAGGUAAAGAAGAGAAAAAUACCUAAAAACAAACUCGGACAAGUAAGAAACAAAGAUCGAAUCUUCAAAGCCUUCCAAGUUUUGGCCCAAUUCGAUCUUAAUCGUGUGUUCUUACCAAGAACACACGAAUAAAGUCGGAAUAGGCCUAAAUCUUCAAGAAAACUCGAAUUAGGGACUUUGGAGGUUUUAGGGUUCAGAUCUUUGAUCCAAUAUUCGAGAGGUUCAAAUCUUAUUUGAAGGCAAAUAGUUGUGGAUUUGGUAUGAAGGGAUAAUGGGGAUUGUAGGGUGUUAGUUUAGGUUGAUUUGAGAUUGGCGCCGCAACCGGAGGGGAGGGGGAUUUUAGGGCGGCGCUAGGGUUCGGGUCUGAGACUCUUAAGAGUGUGAAGUGAGGGAGAGGA